UGAUAUCCUGUUAAAAAUAUUGAUGUAUUAUAAAUCCUGUUUCUAAAUUUAACAUGCAAGAUGCUAUAGACCCCAUUUUGUUAUAGAGGGAUCGCCCUUGCAUUAGUGUCUUACAAGUCUUACAAAUUGAGAACAAUAGACCAAUUAUCUACUCUUACUGAUUUGAUAGAAAAACACUUCCUUAAUCAACGUUUUGCAGCUUUAUUAAUUUUUAAAAGGCUUACAACACUUUGGAAAGAGAUAUUUUAACUAAAUAUGAUUGGUGUUGUCCAGACUUUUUGUUCUGAUAUUACGUCAAUUUAUACAAAUGUUUUAUGUUCUGUAGAAAUAAAUGGUCAUUUCACAGACUGGUUUGAUGUAAACUGUGGCUUGAAACAAGGAUGUCCCUUGUUGCCGAUUUUGUUUAACUUGUAUUUUAAUGAUUUAAUUAGAUUUCUUGAGUCCUUUGACUGCUGAAUAGAAAUUGGUAUUGAAAAACUAAUUUAUUCUAUGCUGAUGUCAUUAUUAUGGCAAACUAUGAAAAGUGCUACAACUUUUGUUAAAUGCUUUGUCUACAUGUGAAGACAACUGCAUGCAUGACAAUUAAUACAACAAAGUGCUAUGGUGUACAAUUUUGACUACCAUCUAUACCUAGAUGUGAU
rnacentral:lncRNA from 1 species